CUGCUACAAAGGACGGCAAGUAAUCAGCACAGGCAGAACACGAUUUCAGAGUGUAAUUCUAGAUCCAGCUAAACCACUCUCAGCAAUCACCACACAAGAGAGCAUUCAGAGAAACGUGGCAGUAACAAAGGCAGAGGGCGGAGUGAGCGCGUACCGAAGACGGUGUUGGUGGGGUUCAUGGCGACCUGGUUCUUGGCAGCGUCGCCGAUGAGCCGCUCGGUGUCGGUGAAGCCGACAUAGGACGGCGUGGUGCGGUUCCCCUGGUCGUUGGCGAUGAUCUCCACCCGGUCGUGCUGCCACACGCCGACGCACGAGUAGGUGGUGCCGAGGUCGAUCCCGAUCGCCGGACCCUCGCUCUUCGCCAUUGCCACUAGAAACGCUCUCUCGAACGAAAGGAGGAACCAAAACUAGUAGGGGUGGUCGAGAUCUAGAGAAAUCGCAGAGAAUUCGGAU
rnacentral:lncRNA from 1 species